GUCUGUCUGACACAUUUCAUCAGACAUGUUCUUUUAAAAAUGGUAAUCCGAUUAUAUAGUGGUUUUAAUCACCAUUUGUUCUCUCCUUGCCUGAUAGUGAAUGAGAGCCACAAGUCUGAAUUUAUAGAGCUGAGGAAGUGGCUGAAAGCUAGGAAGUUUCAAGAUUCAAACUUAGCGCCUGCUUGUUUUCCAGGUACAGGAAGAGGGCUGAUGAGUCAAACAUCCCUGCAGGAGGGACAGAUGAUUAUUUCGUUGCCUGAGAGUUGCCUGCUCACCACGGACACAGUGAUUCGAAGCUACUUAGGGGCAUACAUUACUAAGUGGAAGCCUCCUCCAUCUCCUCUGCUGGCGCUGUGCACCUUUUUAGUUUCAGAAAAGCAUGCUGGGCACCGAUCUCUUUGGAAGCCUUACCUGGAGAUUUUACCCAAGGCGUAUACCUGCCCUGUUUGUUUGGAGCCGGAAGUGGUGAACCUUCUUCCCAAAUCUUUAAAAGCAAAGGCUGAAGAGCAGAGAGCCCACGUGCAGGAGUUCUUUGCUUCCUCCAGAGAC
rnacentral:lncRNA from 1 species